GUGGCCCCGACGAGAGCCAGAUACGGUAAUUAACGUGAUGAGAAGCUGAGAGGAGGAAGCAACACUGUGUCAUUCCUCAACUCAAGAUUCACCCGACUCCACAACCCCCUCCUCUCUGCUGGCCUUUGCUAUGCAAAACAGCUCACUGAAUAAUUCACAAAGCUCACUUUUUUACGAGCAACCAACACACUUCACACAGCACUCUUUACGAAAUAAUGAAACUGAAUAAAAUAGUUUUUUUUUUUUUUUUCAGAUUUUCUGUAGCAAAUUUACAGUUCCUCAUAAAAGCAAGGGCAGAUGAAACAGUUUUACUUCCAUUGCCUUUGGAGGAAUUUCACCUAUACGACUAGGAUUGAACACUUAGCUGCAUGCUCUACAAAUGAGAACACCACCUAAAGAAGAAAACAAAGAAGUUUAGCUACUGUUUUACUGAAAGCUGUUGUUAUACAUAUAGCAGCCUUACUGAAACACCUCCAAACACACACAGGCAUUCCUUGGACCUGCUCAUUAAUUCGAUGCACAAGGUAUCAGCUAUGUCCUCUCCACCUGUGCUCUGUUACAUGGGCAGAUGGAGAGAGGGCCCCUCUCUGAGUAGGACUCAUCUGUCUACUUUGUGAGUUACAGUACCCAGCCCCUCUCCGCUCUGCCAGAGACUGAAACCAACCAGGCAAACACUGCAAGAGGAGCUAUUUUGGAGUUGGAUGCUACUGACAGUGGCCCGUGUAAUGGCUGCCUGCUGACACCGUUCCGCUUGAAAGGAUGGGAGGCUGCUGGGACAUGCACAGAAAGCGUACACAUGGAGCCAGACCACCAAGCCAAGUCCUUUGGUCUUUUAUCCGCUGUUUUCAAUUUGUAAUUAUUGAUUUUAUUGUAAUUGAAUACAAAUGUUCUAUUUGGGAAAUCCUAUUAAAGGUCUUCUAAAUUUUGACAGGGAGUUAAGAAAAGAAAUAAAAAGGAGAGAAUCAUUGACUUGGUGGGAACUGACCCCUAUAAGCGUUCCUAAUCUGUGAGUCCUCAUUAAAGACACUGUGAACUCCCUCCUAACAAGCAGGUGUAGGAAGACCAUUAUGUGGAUGCCCAAUAAAAAUGCUGUCAUCAUUUC